ensembl:lncRNA
GGGGGAUUUGCGAAGAGAAAACGCGUGAUUUUCAGGUUAAAUGGGGGAUGUCCGAAGAGAAAACGCGUGAUUUUCGCUGAAAUGGGGUAUUUGAGAAGAGAAAAUUCGUGAUUUUCGCAUAAAUGGGGGAUUCUCGAAGAGAAAACUCUUGAUUUUCACUUAAAUUGAAGAUUCUCAAAGAGAAAACGCGAGAUUUUCGCUUAAAUGGGGGUUUUGCGAUGGGAAAACGUGUGAUUUCUGGUUAAAUGGGGGAUUUCUGAAGAGAAAACUCGUGGUUUUUUGUGUUAAUUGGGGGAUUUGCAAAGAGAAAACUCGUGGUUUUUUGUGUUAAUUGGGGGAUUUGCGAAGGGAAAACGCGUGAUUUUCGCUUAAAUGUUGGAUUCUCGAAGAGAAAACUCGUGGUUUUUUGUGUUAAUUGGGGGAUUUGCAAAGAGAAAAUGCGUGAUUUUCGCUUAAAUGGGGGAUUUGGGAAAACACAUGAUUUUCGGGUUAAAUGGGGGAUACUCGAAGAGAAAAUGCUUGGUUUUCUGGUUAAAUGGGGGAUUUG